UACGUAGGGUGCAAGCGUUAAUCGGAAUUACUGGGCGUAAAGCGUGCGCAGGCGGUUUUGUAAGUCUGUCGUGAAAUCCCCGGGCUCAACCUGGGAAUGGCGAUGGAGACUGCAAGACUAGAGUUUGGCAGAGGGGGGUAGAAUUCCACGUGUAGCAGUGAAAUGCGUAGAGAUGUGGAGGAACACCGAUGGCGAAGGCAGCCCCCUGGGUCAAAACUGACGCUCAUGCACGAAAGCGUGGGGAGCAAACAGG
rnacentral:rRNA from 1 species